UACAGAGGUCCCAAGCGUUGUUCGGAUUCACUGGGCGUAAAGGGUGCGUAGGUGGUCGGGUAAGUCUGAUGUGAAAGCUCUGGGCUCAACCCAGAAAUGGCAUUGGAUACUAUCUGGCUAGAGGAAUGGAGGGGGACUGGAAUACUUGGUGUAGCAGUGAAAUGCGUAGAUAUCAAGUGGAACACCAGUGGCGAAGGCGAGUCCCUGGACGAUUUCCUGACACUGAGGCACGAAAGCUAGGGGAGCAAACAGG
rnacentral:rRNA from 1 species